rnacentral:rRNA from 1 species
UGGGGAAUAUUGCACAAUGGAGGGAACUCUGAUGCAGCGACGCCGCGUGAACGAAGAAGGCUUUCGAGUCGUAAAGUUCUUUUAUAUGGGAAGAUAAUGACGGUACCAUAAGAAAAAGCCCCGGCUAACUACGUGCCAGCAGCCGCGGUAAUACGUAGGGGGCUAGCGUUGUCCGGAAUCACUGGGCGUAAAGGGUUCGCAGGCGGAAAUGCAAGUCAGGUGUAAAAUGCAGUAGCUUAACUACUGUAAGCAUUUGAAACUGCAUAUCUUGAGUAGAGUAGAGGUAAGUGGAAUUUUUAGUGUAGCGGUGAAAUGCGUAGAUAUUAAAAAGAAUACCCGUGGCGAAGGCGGCUAACUGGGCUCAUUCUGACGCUGAGGAACGAAAGCGUGGGUAGCAAACAGG